GUUUGAUUGUCGAGGCUUCAGUUGUUGAACCUCGGCGCAGCAGGCAGUUUGCGGCGUUUCCUGUGACGGCGACCGUUCUGCUCGUUCAACUGGUCGACGCACAGCUUCCUGGCGCUUAGCGUCGACCCCAGGCUCAGGAAGACGACCUCCACCAUCACCCACUGAGCCACAAAAGAUCACGACUGAGUUGUCAUCUUAGACUCAAGAAAAAUAAAAACUAUCUCUGCCUGUGGUUUCAUUUAUGACCUAUAUCUGCCAUCGCUGUCAACAAGUUUCAAAAGCGUUUUAACUUAUACACACAGAUUUUAACUUUUGACAGAAAGUCUCUCUCUUAUCUAACCUUAUCCUCAGCUAUGACGACCAAAUGGUCAACCCCAGCUGCCGCCUAGCUUUAAUCUAAGCCUAUUUAUAACCCUGACCCUCAGCCGAGCUUUAGAAAUCCUGGUUUUGGUUUUAAUGAAGCCUCCCAACACUGAGGGCUUAGACUGCCCCCUGCUGGUAACCACACAGCUCGGCGGCCUGCUCCUCAGGGGAACUCGGGCGUUUUGGUAUUCUGCAAUUCCUGCCCAUUCUUAUUGGGAAAGUCUUGAUUCUGCAUCAUUGCCAAUAAAUAUCCAUAGGCGAUUAAAGAAAAACACCACAACCUGUUCUGACAUGUGAAUAAUUACACAAUUUCGGAGAACAUCUACUGUAAAUGGACAAUUAAGCCCAGUAAAACAAG